CACGUAGGCGGGCUCUUAAGUCGGUGGUGAAAUCCUGGAGCUCAACUCCAGAACUGCCUCCGAUACUGGGAGUCUUCGAGUCCGGGAGAGGUGAGUGGAACUGCGAGUGUAGAGGUGAAAUUCGUAGAUAUUCGCAAGAACACCAGUGGCGAAGGCGGCUCACUGGCCCGGUACUGACGCUGAGGUGCGAAAGCGUGGGAGCAAACA
rnacentral:rRNA from 1 species